rnacentral:rRNA from 1 species
GACGAACGCUGGCGGCAUGCCUAAUACAUGCAAGUCGAGCGAACAGAUGAAGUGCUUGCACUUCUGACGUUAGCGGCGAACGGGUGAGUAACACGUAAGGAAUCUACCUAUAAGCGGGGGAUAACAUUCGGAAACGGGUGCUAAUACCGCAUAAUAUCUUCUUCCGCAUGGAAGAAGAUUGAAAGACGGCUCUGCUGUCACUUAUAGAUGACCUUGCGGUGCAUUAGUUAGUUGGUGGGGUAACGGCCUACCAAGACGAUGAUGCAUAGCCGACCUGAGAGGGUGAUCGGCCACAUUGGGACUGGAGCACGGCCCAAACUCCUACGGGAGGCAGCAGUAGGGAAUCUUCCGCAAUGGGCGAAAGCCUGACGGAGCAAUGCCGCGUGAGUGAAGAAGGCCUUCGGGUCGUAAAACUCUGUUAUAAGAGAAGAACAAAUUGUAGAGUAACUGCUACAGUCUUGACGGUAUCUUAUCAGAAAGCCACGGCUAACUACGUGCCAGCCGCCGCGGUAA